rnacentral:rRNA from 1 species
GAUGAACGCUAGCGAUAGGCUUAACACAUGCAAGUCGAGGGGCAGCAUGAUCUUAGCUUGCUAAGGUCGAUGGCGACCGGCGCACGGGUGCGUAACGCGUAUGCAACUUGCCUUACAGAGGGGGAUAACCCGUUGAAAGACGGACUAAAACCGCAUACACUUGUAUUAUUGCAUGAUAUUACAAGGAAAUAUUUAUAGCUGUAAGAUAGGCAUGCGUCCCAUUAGCUGGUUGGUGAGGUAACGGCUCACCAAGGCGACGAUGGGUAGGGGAACUGAGAGGUUUAUCCCCCACACUGGUACUGAGACACGGACCAGACUCCUACGGGAGGCAGCAGUGAGGAAUAUUGGUCAAUGGGCGAGAGCCUGAACCAGCCAAGUCGCGUGAAGGAAGACAGUCCUAAGGAUUGUAAACUUCUUUUAUACGGGAAUAACGGGCGAUACGAGUAUUGCAUUGAAUGUACCGUAAGAAUAAGCAUCGGCUAACUCCGUGCCAGCAGCCGCGGUAAUACGGAGGAUGCGAGCGUUAUCCGGAUUUAUUGGGUUUAAAGGGUGCGUAGGUUGUUCGGUAAGUCAGCGGUGAAACCUGAGCGCUCAACGUUCAGCCUGCCGUUGAAACUGCCGGGCUUGAGUUCAGUGGCGGCAGGCGGAAUUCGUGGUGUAGCGGUGAAAUGCAUAGAUAUCACGAGGAACUCCGAUUGCGAAGGCAGCUUGCCAUACUGCGACUGACACUGAAGCACGAAGGCGUGGGUAUCAAACAGGAUUAGAUACCCUGGUAGUCCACGCAGUAAACGAUGAUUACUAGGAGUUUGCGAUAUACCGUCAAGCUUCCACAGCGAAAGCGUUAAGUAAUCCACCUGGGGAGUACGCCGGCAACGGUGAAACUCAAAGGAAUUGACGGGGGCCCGCACAAGCGGAGGAACAUGUGGUUUAAUUCGAUGAUACGCGAGGAACCUUACCCGGGAUUGAAAUGUAGAUGACGGA